rnacentral:rRNA from 1 species
UACGGAGGGUGCGAGCGUUGUCCGGAAUCAUUGGGCGUAAAGAGCGCGCAGGCGGUCGUACAAGUCGCGUGUGAAAGCCCCCGGCUCAACUGGGGAGGGUCACGCGAUACUGUUCGACUCGAAGGCAGGAGAGGGUAGUGGAAUUCCCGGUGUAGUGGUGAAAUGCGUAGAUAUCGGGAGGAACACCAGUGGCGAAGGCGGGUCUCUGGACAGUUCCUGACGCUGAGGCACGAAGGUCAGGGGAGCAAACGGG